GACGAACGCUGGCGGCGUGCUUAACACAUGCAAGUCGAACGGAAAGGCCCUGCUUUUGUGGGGUGCUCGAGUGGCGAACGGGUGAGUAACACGUGAGUAACCUGCCCUUGACUUUGGGAUAACUUCAGGAAACUGGGGCUAAUACCGGAUAGGAGCUCCUGCUGCAUGGUGGGGGUUGGAAAGUUUCGGCGGUUGGGGAUGGACUCGCGGCUUAUCAGCUUGUUGGUGGGGUAGUGGCUUACCAAGGCUUUGACGGGUAGCCGGCCUGAGAGGGUGACCGGCCACAUUGGGACUGAGAUACGGCCCAGACUCCUACGGGAGGCAGCAGUGGGGAAUAUUGCACAAUGGGCGGAAGCCUGAUGCAGCAACGCCGCGUGCGGGGUGACGGCCUUCGGGUUGUAAACCGCUUUCGCCUGUGACGAAGCGUGAGUGACGGUAAUGGGUAAAGAAGCACCGGCUAACUACGUGCCAGCAGCCGCGGUGAUACGUAGGGUGCGAGCGUUGUCCGGAUUUAUUGGGCGUAAAGGGCUCGUAGGUGGUUGAUCGCGUCGGAAGUGUAAUCUUGGGGCUUAACCCUGAGCGUGCUUUCGAUACGGGUUGACUUGAGGAAGGUAGGGGAGAAUGGAAUUCCUGGUGGAGCGGUGGAAUGCGCAGAUAUCAGGAGGAACGCCAGUGGCGAAGGCGGUUCUCUGGGCCUUUCCUGACGCUGAGGAGCGAAAGCGUGGGGAGCGAACAGGCUUAGAUACCCUGGUAGUCCACGCUGUAAACGGUGGGUACUAGGUGUGGGGUCCAUUCCACGGGUUCCGUGCCGUAGCUAACGCUUUAAGUACCCCGCCUGGGGAGUACGGCCGCAAGGCUAAAACUCAAAGGAAUUGACGGGGCCCCGCACAAGCGGCGGAGCAUGCGGAUUAAUUCGAUGCAACGCGUAGAACCUUACCUGGGUUUGACAUGGAUCGGGAGCGCUCAGAGAUGGGUGUGCCUCUUUUGGGGUCGGUUCACAGGUGGUGCAUGGCUGUCGUCAGCUCGUGUCGUGAGAUGUUGGGUUAAGUCCCGCAACGAGCGCAACCCUUGUUCACUGUUGCCAGCACGUUAUGGUGGGGACUCAGUGGAGACCGCCGGGGUCAACUCGGAGGAAGGUGGGGAUGACGUCAAGUCAUCAUGCCCCUUAUGUCCAGGGCUUCACGCAUGCUACAAUGGCUGGUACAGAGAGUGGCGAGCCUGUGAGGGUGAGCGAAUCUCGGAAAGCCGGUCUCAGUUCGGAUUGGGGUCUGCAACUCGACCUCAUGAAGUCGGAGUCGCUAGUAAUCGCAGAUCAGCAACGCUGCGGUGAAUACGUUCCCGGG
rnacentral:rRNA from 1 species